GCCCAAAAUCAAGCCUAUAGACCCACCUAAUGUAUUAAUACACAUAUUAACCUUAAGACAAAACAUUUCUACAUUUUAGUAGAGGCGAUCAAAAAACUUAUAAGCGCUUUAUAUUAAGUACCGCAAGGGAAUGAUGAAAUAGAUUUGAAAUAGACCUAAGCACAAAAUAGCAGAGAUUCUACCUCGUACCUUUUGCAUCAUGGUUUAGCCAGUCAUUACCAAGCAAAGAGUAACAUUAGUUUGGUACCCCGAAACUAAGCGAGCUACUUUAAAACAGCUCCAUGGAGCCAACCCGUCCCUGUCGCAAAAGGGUGGGAAGAUUUUUAAGUAGGGGUGAAAAGCCUACCGAGCUUAGAGAUAGCUGGUUAUUCAAGAAAAGAAUUUUAGUUCUACCUUAAGUUUUUACAUUAUUUUUAACAGCCUACUAAACUUAAGAGCUAUUCAAAUAAGGCACAGCUUAUUUGAAAAAGGAGACAACCUACAACAAAGGGUAAAAAAAUUAUUUUUGUCAAGUGGGCCUAAGAGCAGCCACCUUUAAAAAAGCGUUAAAGCUUUAUUUUUUGAAACUACACAAUUCCUUAACAUAUUUUAAGCCCUUCCCCUGUACUGAAUGAUCCCAUAACACUAUGGGAGCCACUAUGCUAAAACUAGUAACAAGAAAUUGAAUUUCUCCAAAAUGCAAGUAUAAGCCAACACGGACCAACCAUUGACAAUUAGCGUAAAUGAACCUAUUAUAGCAACAUACCCAGAAAAUUCUAUAAUUCCCCACGUUAAUCUUACACAAGAGCAUCCCCGGAAAGAUUAAAAGAAAGAGAAGGAACUCGGCAAAUCCUAACCCCGCCUGUUUACCAAAAACAUCGCCUCUUGAUAAAUUAUAAGAGGUCCAGCCUGCCCAGUGACAUAGUUAAACGGCCGCGGUAUUCUGACCGUGCAAAGGUAGCAUAAUCACUUGUUCUUUAAAUAAGGACUAGUAUCAACGGCAUCACGAGGGUUAUACUGUCUCCUCUUUUCAAUCAGUGAAACUGAUCUCCCCGUGAAGAAGCGGGGAUUAAUCUAUAAGACGAGAAGACCCCAUGGAGCUUUAAACUCAACAACAACUCCCCCUACAAAAUACUACAUAUUAUGGAAGCCCUGUCUGUUAGUUUUGGGUUGGGGUGACCGCGGAGAAAAACUUAACCUCCACGACGAACGGAAUUAACUCCUAAUCUAAGAGCCACUACUCUAAGAAUCAAUAAAUUGACAUAAACUGAUCCGAUAAUCGAUCAACGAACCAAGUUACCCUGGGGAUAACAGCGCAAUCCAUUUCAAGAGCCCCUAUCGACAAAUGGGUUUACGACCUCGAUGUUGGAUCAGGGUAUCCCAGUGGUGCAGCCGCUACUAAAGGUUUGUUUGUUCAACAAUUAAAACCCUACGUGAUCUGAGUUCAGACCGGAGUAAUCCAGGUCGGUUUCUAUCUAUAAAGUGUUACUUUUAGUACGAAAGGACCAAAGUAACGUGGCCAAUAUACUUAACAAGCCGCAACCCAUAUUAAUGAAUAAAUCUUAAUUAACAAAGGCCUACUAAUGUAUCUUAAACCAAGACA
rnacentral:rRNA from 1 species